ensembl:misc_RNA
CAAUGUGGGCUGCUUCCACAAUCUCCCAGUUCUUAGCAGUAUUAGCAAAGUGUAACAAAACUGUCAAGGCCUGGGAGCUAUGCUUGUUUAAUUUAUGUGCAAUUGUAUCUAUACCAGAGAAUGCAUGUCCAAAGCACCAAGAAAGGGGCUUUUCCAAAAGAAUG